ACAGUCUGUUUGUGCAUAGCCUUGUGCAUAGAAUUCUUUGUGUGAAUAGUCCGAAAGAAUAUUUAAAGAAUAUCGUUUAAAUGUAACAGAGUUCGUAAAAGAAGCUUGAAUGAAUUACUUUGGUCAGCCGCUGGAAAUUAAAUAUAAAAAGUAUGCAAAACGUGCGGUGAGUUUCUGCGUUUGUGGACAAAUGGAAAACGGAACAAAUUUAGAUCAGGAUCUUCGUACGAUGGAGCGACGCUAUCAAGGCUACUGGAACUCACACAUGAUGGCUGACUAUUGUUGGAUCAUUCAGAACAGCCCUCUUUCAGCCUUCAGCUGCAAAAAGAAACUUUUCUUCAACUAAAGAUCUAAAUAAAAUAAUCCUCUGAAAUCAUCA
rnacentral:sRNA from 1 species